rnacentral:rRNA from 1 species
CUACGGGGGGCAGCAGUGAGGAAUAUUGCACAAUGGGGGGAACCCUGAUGCAGCAACGCCGCGUGGAGGAUGACGCAUUUCGGUGUGUAAACUCCUUUUAUAUGUCAAGAAAAUGACGGUAGCAUAUGAAUAAGCACCGGCUAACUCCGUGGCCAGCAGCCGCGGUAAUACGGAGGGUGCAAGCGUUACUCGGAAUCACUGGGCGUAAAGGACGCGUAGGCGGGUUGGAAAGUCAGGUGUGAAAUCCUACAGCUUAACUGUAGAACUGCACUUGAAACUUCUAAUCUAGAGUAUGGGAGGGGGAGAUGGAAUUAGUGGUGUAGGGGUAAGAUCCGUAGAUAUCACUAGGAAUACCUAAAGCGAAGGCGAUCUCCUGGAACAUUACUGACGCUAAGGCGUGAAAGCGUGGGGAGCAAACAGGAUUAGAUACCCGGGUAGUC